UAGUGAGGGCGGGGAAGCUGAAAAGAUCAGGACCGGGCAGUAAAAAGUGCCUCCCGUGACCUUGUCAGCUCUUCAUGCACUUCCGGGAAGAAAGGAACGGGGGCGGGGCGUGGCUUUGAGUACAUUUGACAACAGCACGUGAAGUACUACUAGAUUGGGCGUGGUAAGUAGAAUCUCACAAGGAGAUUUGCGGAUGUCAUAAAAAUGUUGUAACAACAUUACUGCAACGUUGUGGAAAAAACGUAUUUAUAACGUGAAAAAACCUGCCAUUUGUCAUAUUAAGUACGUCAGAUAUAAACGUUAUCAUGACCUUUUCACAAUGUAAAAAAAGUUUUUUACAACGUAAUUGUGUUUGCUGGGAACACAGCACGCCAUUCACUAAUGUGCUGGCGCUGCACAUGCAGACAAUAUUUAGCUACUUUUUUUUUUUUAAUCCCUUUUUCUCCCCAAUUUGGAAUCCCCAAUUCCCAAUGUGCUCUAAGUCCUCAUGGUGGCGUAGUGACUCACCUCAAUCUGGGUGGUGGAGGACGAAUCUCAGUUGCCUCCGUGUCUAAGACCAUCAAUCCGCGCAUCUGAUCACGUGGCUUGUUGAGCGUGUUACCACGGAGACAUAGCGCAUGUGGAGGCUGCAUGCUAUUCUCCACGGCAUCCACGCACAACUCACCACGCGCCCCACUGAAAGCGACAACCACAUUAUAGCAACCACGAGGAGGUUACCUCAUGUGAUACCCUCCCUAGCAACCGGGCCAAUUUGGUUGCUUAGGAGACCUGGCUGGAGUCGCUCAGCACACCCUGAAUUCAAACUCGCGACUCCAGGUGUGGUAGUCAGCGUCUUUACUCGCUGAGAUACCCAGACCCCCAUUUAGCUACUUAUUUAAUGGCCUUUUGCGAUUCACAGAGCUAUCAUGUGUCUUCAAGUGGCUUUGAGUAAAAUGCACGAGUCAUAUGGACUAAUUUAAUGGUGUUUUUAUGGUUCUUCUAUGUCAUUUUUGGAGCUUGACAGUAACAAACAUGACUAACACACAGUAUCGGAUUUGGGUCGGAAAGAUAUCCGAUCGUUCCGACUGAUCGAACCUCAGUAUUGGAGCCAGUACUGAUCCAGGUAUCGGAUUGGUGUAUCCCUAAUUACAGCAAGAAGCAGGAUCAAGGCAACAGUGACGAAUACAAUGAGUAUCUGACUGAAGGAUGGAAUAACAGUGUGGAUCAUGGGGGAGGGAUCUGGAUUACAGCAGGAUUACAAAAAUAUGCCUGUGAUCUCUCACUGGUUCCAAACACAGCACACACCUGUCUUGUUCUGUCUGAGGAUAACAGGAAGGCUACACGUGUGAAAGACCAGCAGUCGUAUCUUGAUCGUCCAGAAAGAUUUGGUGUGUGGUAUCAGGUUCUGUGUAGAGAGAGUCUGACUUGACGCUGUUACUGGGAGGCUGAAUGGAGCGAGAAUGUGGCUGAAAUAUCAGUGGAAUGUAAAGGACUCGGCAGGAAAGGAGGAAGUAAUGAGUGUAGGUUUGGACUCAAUAACAAGUCUUGGAGUCUGGACUACUCACAUAGUGGUUUCACUGCCUGGCACAAAAAUGAGAGGACAGACCUGUAUGACCCCACACCCCUGUCUAAGAGAGUAGGAGUGUAUGUGGACUGUCCGGCUGGCAUUCUUUCCUUCUACAGUGACUCUGACACACACACACACAAUAUUAGAAUGCCAUGUCAGGGUAAGCACAUAUAUAUGCAUCUAAAUACUGUAUAUAGUAAGUAUAUAAAUAAUUAGGGAUGUCAAGAUUACUUGAUUUAAUUGAUUAAAUCGAUGAUAAAAAUCCUCAAUGACAAGAGUCAGUGCAACAAACAAAAAAGUGUCAGCUGUAUGGAAGC